rnacentral:rRNA from 1 species
UAUCUCUGUAGAGUCUGCAUAUCAAUAAGCGGAGGAAAAGAAACUAACUAGGAUUCCCUCAGUAACGGCGAGUGAAGCGGGAAGAGCUCAAAUUUGAAAUCUUCAAGGUUCUACCUUGACGAAUUGUAGUUUAAAGAAGUGUUUUCUGUUGGAGUUUUGGUAAAAGUUCUUUGGAAUAGGACAUCAUAGAGGGUGAGAAUCCCGUAUUUGACCAUUAUUUCCAGCUUUGUGAUACACUUUCAAAGAGUCGGAUUGUUUGGGAAUGCAGUCCAAAAUGGGUGGUAAAUUUCAUCUAAAGCUAAAUAUUGGCGAGAGACCGAUAGCGAACAAGUACCGUGAGGGAAAGAUGAAAAGAACUUUGAAAAGAGAGUUAAACAGUACGUGAAAUUGUCAAAAGGGAAGCGUUUGACACCAGUGUUGUUUUCUCGAAAAUCAAUUAAAAAAGGCAGGAUUUUGUGUUGUAUUGACUUUAUCAGCUUUCUGCACUCUUUUCUCGUCUUUUUUAAUGCACUUUUCGUUUAACAAGUCAACAUCAAUUUCUUUUGUUGUAAAAGGGUCAUUGGAAGGUGGCUUUCUUUUCGGAGAAAGUGUUUAUAGCCUUUGGCCUCUGCAAUCGGAGAGAUUGAGGUCUGCAGCGUAGAUCCUUCGGGGUUAGAUACAUUUGUGCUAAGUUAUAGCCUUUCAUAGACAACUUGUUGACUAUGAUCAGUCAUGUAGCUUACUCGCUUAUGCUAUUUUACCUACGCUUAGGAUGUUGACGAUCAGCUGAGCGCG